rnacentral:sRNA from 1 species
AGGCCACCAGCUGGCGGGAAAGGGAAGUGGAACCCGCGCCCGGGCCCCUGGGCCGAAGUGGCGCGGACGCCAUUCACUCAUCUGCCGGCUGGCUGGCCUAGACACUCGCUCACACACGCGCUCAUUCAUGCGCACGGGUCCUCCCCCAUUCAUUCAAGCGUGCCUGGAGAGCCAUGGUGGGUGUCCCUGGGGGCGGGGAUGAAGAGAGCAGACAUCACGGUUGCCAGAUAGCUUUGGUGCCUGUAUUCAAGGCCUGCGGGAAACAGCGACUGGGAAAGAGAAUGCUUUAAUAUAACCCCUUGCCUUAGGCACACACAUGUCCGCACUUUAUUUCUGAGACCAGACUCCAACUCAUCUUUCAGAAUCCAAUUUCACGCAGCACCUGCUCCACAGUGCCUUUCCCCGCCCACCUGAGGCCAGAGAGAAGAUUCAUUGCUCAGAGGGCUACUGGCGCUGAUGGUGGGCGGCUCCCUCGUUAGCCAGAACAUAGAGAUAAGAGGGUGUGGCCAGAGCGAGGGAUGCUCUGUAUCUCUCCACUUAGGCUUCCUUGGGGAAAACGAAGUUUCCAGAAGACAAGCACCUGUAAUUCAACCCUGUGAGGGAAAUGUGUUGACCCAGGUUCCGGAGUUCCUCUCCCAGACUGUGGAGGGCGAUUUGGAAGUGUCUGCAUGAAGUAGCUGCUAGACGCAGAGGCAUCAUAGUCUCAUGGUAACAGCCUGUGGUACGACUGGAGUCAAAACAAGAGAUUUGCUGUCCAGAAAGAUAAUCCGGUGGCGGUGUGGAUAGAUGGAUGAAUAGCACAGGACAGCUUGGAAGCUGCCUCAGAAGUCCAAGACGUAAACGAUGCUUUGCCAAUUAGGACAGCUCAGUGGUGUGGCAAAGGGGUAUCCUGAGCAAGUAUUUACAGCGCUCGCGAUUUGUGCUACUUCAUCUGUGUCUGCAUGUCUGUCUCUUUGUACCUGUGUGUCUCUGUCCUUGGGACUGCACAGUUAAAAGAAUGUGAUGUGACCCAUGCACAUAUUUCCUUGUUCCCCUCGAGUCCCCUCCCUCCUCAGGACGCUUCUGGAGUACGUGCUCUGACCUCGGCUGUGGUGCUGACAGAGCUGGACAGCAAGAAAUGAGGACGGAGGAAAACUCAGAGCAAAGGGGAACUUAAGCAAGACUUUGCAAGGACUGGAGAGAUAAGGUAUCCACGGCAGAUCAGGGAAAUUAUCCCACCCAAGCCUACUUUGGUGAUCCAGUAAAUGUAUUGGUGUUACUUACUGGCGUCGGAGGCACAAAGUCAUCACUAAAAAGCCCACCCCAGCAUGGACGGCAAGUUGAUCUGUGUGCCUGCACAGCUAGCAAUCAGAGGAGUCGCCACACCCCAGCUUUUACAAGCUUGAGAAGGAGCCUUGUGAAUCUUGUAACUUUCAUGAGCUUCUAUGAAAGCCUUCUAUGUUUUAUUAGCUUCCUGAGUAUUAGUUUAAAAAAAUAAAAAGUCUUAGUAAACCUCUCUCCUCCCGCUCUGAGAGCAUGUUUCAAUUCAGAGGAAACAACCACACAGGAAGAAACAAUUGCCACUUGAGGAAUAGCCUGGAUAACCUGAUCUUUAAACUGAAGUUGGAAGCCUAUAAACUGAUCUCUGAUAACCCUUGUCCCUGGAUUGCCACAUUCUGACUUCCUUUCACUGAAGUGCAGGCUGGACUCCCUGUCUCGAUGUUCACAAAUAGAACACGGUAGGACAGACACGCUGUUCCUUCUGCGAUUGGAUAAGGAAAAGGCCAGCAACUCUGGGCACAUGUCAUCUCUUUUGCUCUUUUGGCUUUUGCCCCCACAAAGGAAGCCAGGUAGUGUGGGGAAACUUGGUGAGGGACUGAGGUCUGCCACCAUGGGACUGAACUAGGUAGCACAUCCCUCCUUGACUGAGCCUUCCUAUCUGGCUGAGGUCCUUUCGGUGCCUUGACUAUACUCAAGACAACUGAAUCAGAGGCACAAACUAAGCCACACUGAUUCUUGACUGGAAAUGCUGAGAAAACAAUUAUGAAUCUUGGGAUUGUUUGCUAAUCAGCAUCAUAUAACUAAUACAAGAUAUUCUUAACUGCCAAGGAGUGGAUCUAAAGUA